rnacentral:lncRNA from 1 species
ACUUUUUUAAAAAAUUUUCCUUAGGGUGUGAAUGUCAUAAUGUGGGUACAAACUAACAGUAUAGGAACAAGGACAUUGAUAAAAAUUGAAAAAGAAAAAUUGGAAAUUUAUUCAGAGAAGAAGUAGCAUCAAUUGCCUAGGGAAUAAGUGCCUGCAGAUGUUACACCUUGGUCCCCAGUAUGCUUGAAACAAACUGGAGACUGAUCAGUUUCUUACAGUAUCAGAAGACAGCAGCCCAGCUACAGCUAACCACACAAAGAGAUUGAAGAACACUGAGCUGCCAAGGAGUAGUGACCCAGCAAGAAUCAAGGUAGACUUAUCUGGGCCUGUCUGCAAGCCUUUUGCUCUGUCUUCCAUAGGAGAGAAGGAAUCUCUUCUGCCAACACAUUGUCUGUUUAAAUGGCUACUGCACAGAACCAAUCCACUUUACAAGACUCUUUAAAAUUUUUCCUUGUCAACAGUCCGUCCAAUCCAAAGUUCAUAAUUAGAGAUUUCCAGUCUGUGUUGUUUAAUUCUAUGAACUCUACUGCAUUCUUCUCUGCUUCCCCUUCAUCUGCUUGGCAACUGGGCAUUGGAAAAUUUAGUCUUUAAAAUAUGGAGCCAAGAAAGAAUGCCUACACAGGCACUCACAUCUGAACAGCCCCCUCUCCUCAUCAAACAAUACAAUAGCUGUUGAAUCCGCAAAUCCCGCUGCCACGGCCACUUGCAGCUGCACUGCAACUGUCGUCAGUAAUUCCCUACAGAACAGACCAAGAAGUAUUAAUGCAGUUCCAAUGGUUUGCAGUGUUCUAUUUGCAGUGCUUAUAUAAUCAAAAUCAAGUGUUGUCUUGUAGUAAUAUCACUCCCAAAGUCUCUAUCUUCUGAUAAGAGGUUAACUUAGGUGGCAAGAUGGUAUCAAUAGGAUUCUUGAAGCAUGCCCAGGCACAAAUAACUAAAGGCAUAUUUCAAAAAAAUUUGGUUACCAAACAGGAAAAACCUAGUAGAAUUAGCAUAAAAUAGGUAAAAACUGGAAAAUCACCAUGUUAAUUUGAGCAGGUCAUUCAAGUACAUGUGGUUUUGGCCUCUUAAAUAUUCAAUCACAAGUACAUUCUAUAUGAUUUUAAGCUACUACAGAAGUAUGAAAAAGAAAAUUAUGAGAAUGUCAACCAGUGUGGAAACUAAUUUCCUUAAGUAACUUCUCUCAAUAUCCUUUUCCUUUAAGACAAUACGGUUACAAGUUGCAACUUAAUUUUUGUCUCCGGACUUACCAUGUGAACGUACUUGAGUCUGAUUGUAACUCGACCCAACCAAGCAAGGGCCAUCCAUAGUUGAUACUAUUGACGCUGGUUGAUGGAAUUGAGUCCCAGGCUAGUCCAGCUUGACUAAUAGUCAAAUAUGCUCUCAAAGCGAACUUUCCUGAGAUUGAGAACAAACCUUGAAUCAUAAAAAGUUCAGGAAAAUAAAUCCGGAGAAUAUUUAAUAUAGUCAACAACCAACUCUUCUUCCUUCAUAAGAGGUGGUGAAUUAGCUCAUAAUAUAGAAGAGUAAAUUUUGUGAAGAUGGGGAAUAAGCUCAAAAUCAUAAUUUCUAUACAAAAUCAGAAAGUUCAAUGAGAGAAUUGCACUCAACUACUAAAAGAUAAUAACAACAUCAAAAUAAAAAACAGAAAAAAAAAAAGAACCGUAAAAGUCUUAUAGACAAGACAAUUUAAUUACAAUAUUCGUCGUGGGAAUUUUGUGGUAUAGACCUUCAUUUAGACUUGGACUUUUUAAUUUUCUUUAUGAAUAAACAAUUGGCUCCUGCUCAAAUGAAAAAUGAGAACCAAUGCUCAGAGUCACAGACAGAGGUGUAGGCAUGGCAAUGCCAAUUUUGCAAAUGAUCAUUUGGUCAUAGUCAAAACCUCAGAAAAGCCAAAACAAGAACAAUAUAACAUCAAAAUUGGGACAAAAACAUGUGUAGCAACUACAUAACAAAGAUUUGUGUCAAUCUGCUCACCUUUUAAAGGUGGUCCACUGGGUUAGUGCAAAAUAGACUAACUUUUUCUUUAUAGGGGCCCUCAAUCAGUGUUGGCUGCUGAACUAGAAGAGAGUUCAGAUAACUAAAAAAUUCUAUAAAUUCAAUACCAUAAAAUACCUCACAUAAAAAUGUUGCUUUUGGAAUUGUAGUUUUCCAAAUGUUCCCAAAUUUAAAAAUACAUUGGCAUAAAGUUAUUGAUGUUUACCUCAUAUUUUUUUCCAUGGUCAUAUCAAACAUUGUUCACAUAGUAAGUCUUCUAUGCUGAUCCUUGUUACUUAAUAUGAGACACAGAAAAGAAAAAGUAGUGAUCAAUUUAUUUUGAUAUCAAAGGGAGCAAAGCCAUAACAUGUAUAUUACAUAUGUAGCCAACUAAGUACAUAUUAUGAUGUGGGUAAGAUUCAAUACAUAUUUCAAUAACCAUGAAUUACCUAAAAAUGUAUCCACGUGUUCUUAUAGGGGAUAAACACACAAGUAGCUAGGAGUCAUCUCUGCCCAUUUCGAAAGGUAAAUUGAUGGUGUCAUGAAAAUAUGAUAACUGGCUUCUUUAAAAUAUGAAUUACCAUGGAUCAAUCUUUCUUUACUCUUCUUUACUUCAUUAGAAAAUUCUUUUUUUUUUAAAAAAAAAGAUAGGGCAGAGCAUGCUGCAUAACCAAAUUCCCAAUAAGAAGGCUAGAAAAUGAGUUAUGGAGACAUGCAACUAUAGAGAUUGUUAGAAAUUUUGAAACAUGAGUACUUGGCCAGCUACUUUAUGAAUUGGAACAUAACUUUUUUAAAGAAAAUAAGUCUAAGCAUAAAACAAAUUACCUGACGGUAUAUUGAUCACUAUUUUUGGAGUUGAGAGAGGGCAAUUUCAUAUAUACAAGAUCAUGGGAUUAUGUUCCCUCUAGAACUCAAUUUUGCUUGUCAAUAGCCCGUGUACCACAUUCCUCUCUGCUCCCCUUUCAUCUGCUUGGCAAUCGGGCAAUUGAAAAAAUUUCAUCUUUAAAAUCUAUAUCCAAGAAAGAAUACCCAUAUAGGCAACAAUUUGGACAACCUCCCCUCUUCAUCAAGCAAUACAAUGGUUGUUAAAUCCACAAAUCCCACUACCAUGACUACUGGUGUCUAUGCUGCAAAUGUCAUCAGAAAUUGCCUGCACGAUAGACCAAGAAGAAGCAUUUGUUUUUAAAACCAGAAGCUUCUAUAUAUAAGUAAAGCAUCUUAUAUAAAGAGUAUAGAUUUACCUUAUCUAUUUAAAAAUCACAUUUUCAAAAAUUUUAAAAUUUGAGAGAAUAAGAAUCUAUUUGGUGAAGUUUUUAAAAAUAAUUUUAUGUUUUUAAAAAUUGAAAACAGUUUUAAAAAAUUAAUAACACUGUUUGGUUAUUCUUCUCAAUUUCCUUUUUAAAAACAAAAUAAAAUAAAGAACAACUUUUAAAGAACAAGUAAAAGUUAUUUUUAUCCAUUUUUAAAAAUAAUAGAAAAACAUAUGCACUCUAUUAUUUCUCUUCUACAUAGAAUUAUUAUUUUUCAAUUUUUUUGGUUAAGUAAAUUAACUCCAAAUUAAACAAAAUUUAAUGUGUUGUAUUUGUUAACAAGUCUAUUAAUUUUUAAAAAUAAUUUAAAACUUAAAUAAUAAACUCAUUAAUACCAUAAAUUUAUUAAUAUAAUAAAAUAUCUUUUUUUCUAACAAAUAAUAAAAUAGUAUAAUUUCUACUAAAAAUAUAAUUUAUGAUUUUAUUAUAAUAUUACUAUUUAUGUUUUACUAAAAACUAUAUAUAUAUUUUAAUUUAUUUGUAAUUACAAAAUUAUUUUCAUUUUCAAUAAGAAUUCAAUUAAAUUUAAUUAAUUAAUAUUAUAUAAAUUGAAUUAAAAAUAUUUUUACAAAAUUAUAAUAAUUUAAAAGAAAAAAACAAUUGAUCCGAACAAGUUUUUUUUUUUUAAAUCCUUCUAUAAUAAUAACUUACCAAAUAUCCUUAAUUUUAUAAAACAUUAAAAAAAACCUUUUUUGAUUCUUUAACAUUAAAAAAGUUUCUAAAAAAAAACAUAAGAAAUCAUGUUCAAACAACAAAUUUUAAAAAAUUAAUCAAAGUAUUUAAUUGACUUGUAUUAAAAAUGAAUAUUAAAAUUAUUUUUAUAUUAUAGAAAUUUUUGUUUCACUAUAAUAAAAAUAUUGUUUCAUAAUUAAAAACAAAAUUAUUUAUCUUUAAUUAAUAUAUAAUUGUAUAUUUAAUUUUUAUUUUUUAAUAAGACUUAACAUGAAUUUGAUUUCAUAUUAUUAUAAAUUAAUUUUAUAAAAUAAAAGUAAUACAUUGUUUUUAAAAAAUAAUACAAAUUCUUUCAUCUUAUUGUUUUUUGUUUUUUAAAAAAUAUUUUUUAAAAUAUCUUGCCAAACAUUCUGGUUUUUUUAAAAAAAAUUUUGCCCUAAAUUUUUUUUGAUACCUUGAUUGUUUUAAACAGUUUUUAAAAUUAUUAAUUUUUCAAUGUAAGCCUUUAAGAGUUAAAAUACAAAAGUUACUGUCACUUAAUUUUAGGCUUAACAAUGUAGGAGAUUUAAGUGGAGGCAAGGAAUUAAGCAGAUAUAUUCUUGAGAUUAGAAAUUUGGGUGGAACAUCAAUUUUGUAAAGAAAUUAAGUUUAAGCACACAACAAUUACCUGCCCAUGUGUUGGUGCACUGCCACUCCCAUUAAAAUAGCACCCAAUCGAUCACUAUUUUUGGAAUGUGAGAUAUAUAACGCCAUUCUUGCCCUUUCUCGAAUUGGAGCCGUUGUUCCAGCAAAGGACACGAUCCGACAUCCAGAGAACAGAGGGAGUCUGGCAGUCUCUCUUUUGUCAAGUAUUGGAGCUUAGGGCAACGGACGAUACUUAAGGUUUCAAGAGUGGUGAGGUGGUGAAGACCCGCUUCUGUCAAGGAUUGGAGCCUUCUGCACGACCAGAUUUCUAAUUUCUUGAGAGAGAUAAGGCGUUGAAGAACAGAUCCUGUCGAGAAUUGGAGCUCAGGGCAGUUCUCGAUCCAUAAUUCUCGAAGAGAGGUGAGUUGUUGAAGCCCCUUGUUGUCAAGAGACUUGAGAUUUGGAAGACCCCAGAUUGAAAGAUGAGUUAGAGAAGAGGGCAGCAGACACUCCUUGGGAAAUAAUUCCACGCCUUCACAUCCACCUCCGAUUGUGAAAUGAGUAAGAGAGGUCAGUCUUUGCAAAUCCCAGUCCACCUGUGACGUGAGUUGGUUGCAGCGCCAUAUUGCAAGUUCCCGUAGGUUGGAAGGCAAACCCUCCCUGUGCAACAACAAUUCUGGACAAUCCGCUAAACACAGUUUCUGCAGAGAUGAAUGGGUGUGCGCCAGCAAUUUGAGAUUGGAGCAAUUCCAAAUAUCAUGGUACAUCGAGUCAAGAGCAGGCAGUUGGAUGUAUACAAGAUUAAGGCACCGAUGGAUCUUCAAAUUACGAAGAGAUGUGGGAUCCCCCUCUGAAAUCGAGAUGCAGAGCUCCUCAAGCCCCUUAAGACCAUUUAUUUCGAAAUCAGUCAACCUGGGGAAGAUGUCCAAUACUGAGAAGGACAACAAGAGAGAAUCACAGGUACCGCCAUUGAUUGAUAGAUUUUCGAGAACCGGGUGAUGGCAUCUGAACAACUUAGGUAGAAGAAGGUCCAAUUUGGUACAAUCAGAGAUUGAUAACGAUUUCAAUGUAGUGGGUAAGCCAACUUUGUUUGGGGAUCUGUAAAAAGAGCAAUCACAAAUUUCCAAACUGUACAUGUUGGUUUGCAGGAUUUCCUCCUCUAGUAGAGACUCCACAUAAUCACAUUUUCUAAUGUAGAGAUAGUGGGGUACCAGUGGAAGUUGCUUCAACUGAGAGACGUCUGAAAUUUCAAUUUUUGAAGUUUGACUAGCUGUGAACCCACAAGUUUGCCUUUUCAACUGCAAUUCACGGGCAGCAAGAACGUUGAGUGUAGGCACAAGCAGCUGUGGGCAAUUUCGAAGGUUAAGUUCCUUCAAUAAAGGAAGGUGCAUUGGUAAUUCCCCAGUGAGUUUUGGACAGUUACUUAUAGAAAGCUCCUGGAAACGAGGGAAUUCUCCAUGUUUGCCUCCACAACAUAACCAUUUCUCCCAAUUGGACAUAGAGGAAAAUGAUAGAGUUUGCAGGGAUGGGAAGGAGGGAUGAAGCGAGGAAGAAGAAUUCCCAUAAAACUCACUACCCACCCUCACUACUCCAUUCAUUCCAAAGAUCUUUAUAUGUUCAAGACAAGGUAGCUGCCCCAGUGGCGGCAAUGUUGAGCAAUUCCUACAAUUCGAAAGCUGAAGGGAUACGAGAUUUGAAAAUGAUCCGUCUCCAAGCCAAUCUGGAAAUGUUAGACCAGGAUACCCUCCAAUGGACAACUUUUUUAAAUUUGGAUGAGGUGUUAGCCUGUUGAGAAUAUCAUCUUGUAUAGCAUCAUGACUAAUCCCCCGACUCCAAUUCAAGGAUAACUCAUCAAGGUAUUUCUUAUCCUUCAUUUUCGCCUGCAAUGCAUCCUCAACACCCACCACAUUCUCCAUUUUUGAAAUUUCAAGUCUUCCUCGAAUCUCUGAAAGCUUCCACAAUUCUCCAAAUCUGAAUCCACUUUCUUUGCCCACAGUAAAAUUAGAUAAUUUCUGCAAACUUUUUAAUUGACCUAUAUCAUUUGGCAUUUCUUCCAAUGAAUUAGACCCACUAAUAUCAAGAUAGCGCAAAUUAAUCAACUUCCCCAUUUUUGAAGGCAAUUCAAGAAGAGAAUCACAAUUACUCAGCAUCAUCGUUUGCAAAUUGCACAAACAACAUAUUGAUUCAGGUAAUCUUUUAAUCCAUGUUGUAGAGAGAUCCAAGUAACGCAACUGUUUUAAAUUGUGUAUUGAAUCAGGCACAUCUCUUAUGCAGUAUGCACGCAAUGACAACACCCGCAAAGAUUUAAAUUUUGGUAAUAUAUUGUGUAAAACUCUUGUACUCAACAAAUAAGGAGGCCAUGAUGUCUUCACCUCUAAGAUUGUUCUGAGAUGUUUGGCUUCACCAACAGGCUCAAAAGUUUCAAACACAGCUCCCCGGUCAUCGUCACUUUCAAAGUGGAAAAAAUGGCGAGCCUUAUCAGAUAUUUUUGGCAGCUUACAAUCUUCCAAUCGAAUGCAAAAUUCUUGGGAGAUAUGUUGAGCCAAGUCAUGUAUCAGAUCAUGCAUUACAAAGCAUGAUUUUUCUCCUCUAAUACAUUUUUGAAAAAACGACUUUGCUAAAAGUUCAUUUAAAUAUGAAUCACCUACCUCUUCCAUUCUUCUGUUACUUUGUCCUGAGUGUAAAAACCCUUCUGCCAUCCAUAAUAGAAUCAGCUUCUCUUUGUGGAAUUCAUAGUCCUUGGGAAAAUUUGAACAGUAAGCAAAACAACGCUUCACAGGAGGAGAGAGAUGCUGAUAACUCAAUCUAAGAGACGGAAGAAUUUCAUGAUCAGUUUGGGAAUGCCACGUUUCGCUAUUCAAAAUAUCUUCCCAUUCUCCUUUUUCGGCCUUGUAGUACAAGAGGCUCCCGAGUGCUUUAACAGCCAAAGGCAAUCCUUGGCACUUGUCCACAAUCUUUCUUCCUAUGGGCUCAAGCUGUGGAUAAGCGCUGGAGUCUCCAUUUGGAAAUGCAAGUUUUGUAAAUAUGGACCAACUAUCUUCAGGGCUUAAUGUCCCCAAAUGAUGAGUAGGGACUGCUCGCAUGAUUUUUGCAGCAGUUUCACUGCGACUAGUCACAACAAUCUUGCUUCCCUCUGCUGCAGUGAGGAGUGGAUUUCGUAGGCCUACCCAAUCAUCAGACUUCAUAUCCCAGACGUCGUCCAGAACAAGAAGAAAUUUCUUGUUACCUACUCUCUCUUUGAGUUUAAGCUGAAGCAAAUUUAGGGUGUCAUCAGGUUUAGUUUCAGAACCGAUUUCCUUGAGAAUUGAUUUUGUCACCUCCUCGAUGAGAAAAAUCUGAGUGGAAACACAGACCCAUGCUUUCAAGUGGAAGUGUUGCUUGACCGUGUCAUGGUUAUAGAGAAGCUGAGCGAGUGUGGUCUUGCCGUUGCCGCCGAUGCCCACUAUGGACAUCACAUCUAUGUUGUUGCCUGUUGCAUUUUCCUUAUCAGAAAGCAACCACUUCACCAUCUCCUCUUUGAUUCCAUCCCUGCCCACCACAGAGGACUCAUCCACCAAAGAAGUGGUUGGUGGCCUUGGUGACAGUUUAUCGCCCUCACCUUCUUUCAGCCCAAGCUUCUCUUUUUCUUCAGCAAUAUCUUCAAGCUUAGCAAUCAUCUCCUUCACCCUGGACUCCAUGCUUUGAUUGGCAAAUGGAGCCUUAACCCUGGUAGAGAACUUGUUCCACACCUGAUAAAUUCCACCAGGUUGGGAGUCAGCAGCUUCAAUCUCGCACCGCAAGGCUUCGGUAGCGAUCUCGUCCAACAGGUCCUCCGCAUGAUACACAGCAUCCUUAACCUGGACCAGCCAGUCUUUGACUAGUGGGUCUGAAAAUUGCUUCAUCUCCGCAUCAUUGAGCGCUUUGUGGACAACCAGCAAUUUCCUCUUCAAUUUGUUGAGGAGUUCAUGGCUAAGCUUCUGUCCCCGGAUGAAGUUCAUCAACUCCGGAGAAGUCAACCUGUCGAAUAGAACUUGAAGUGAAGCGGAUAGGAGUGCGUCGGCCAUAUCUGUUGACUGUUGCUUUGCAAAUCAAAGGAACUCAGCGAUUCAGUUCAGGAAAAAACGAAGGUAAAGCAGAUGCAGAAUCACACCACCAAACUGUAGUGGACUGGUUUGAACACGAGAUCCAAAAAUAAUGGAAAAAUAAAGAAGGCCACAGAGAGGCACAUGGGGCUGCACCAAACACCAAGGGAUGCACAUGGUCUGUCACCCUCGAGCAUAAAACUCAUGUUAUGUUUAUUAAUGACUCUUAUCUUUUUCAAAUCCAUAUAUAAUUUUAUCUAUAACUUCAUGCAUGUUUUUUUCAAUUGUUAGUAUUGAUUUUUUAUUUUUUUGUUUUUAAUAUAUUGGUGAAUCAAUUGGUGGAGUUGGGGCAGAUCUUUUGACAUUGAUCUAGGUCUUCAAUUUUUUCUAGAUUUGCUCUUUAGAAUAUUGUAUUUUAUUUACCAUUGCAAAAUAAUUAUUCAAGCUCUUAACUUGAAAAUAUUAAAAUUAUUUUUAACAAUUAGCAUUUUUGUUAAAAAAAAUAACUCGGUAGUUUAUGAAUUAAAGUAUGAAAAUUGUCAUUUUCUAUGUUUUCAUAAUGAUGUAAUUGUGAAACUCCUAACCCCCCAAAAAAAAAAAAAAGGAGAAAAGAAAUUUCACCUUAAUUGGCUUUUGUCAAAGGCAUAUAUACCUUUUACUCGCAUUAGUUCUAUACCUACUUGGAUAUCCUUGGUUUUGUACAACCGAUAAUGAAUUUCAUUCAAUUUGAUCGAUUUUGUAGUUCUUUAGUCGAUUUUAAUCAUAAUAAAAGAUUGUCUAUAUUUGAAUGUUUAUGUAAAUUCAACUGAAUUAAGAAUUUUUAUAUGACAAAAAUAAAUCUUAAUUAAAUAACCUUAUUAUUGCCUUCUCUAGCUAUAGCAGUCAUAAAACUUCUCAUAAUUACAUCAUCACCACCUUCACUUUCCAAUCUUGAAGCCACCUUGCAAGAUUCCUUAACAACAUCAUUAUUCAAUUCAAAAAAAUUUCACAUAAAUUAAAUAUAUAAAAAAAAAAAAUCAUUUUUCUCAAUUUUUAUUUUUUUUCUUUUCUGAGCAUUUGUCAAGCAAAUAAAAAAUAGGCUAAAUAACUUGAAAAUAAAUUGAAUAAUAAACCAAAGGAUGGAUUGGUAAGAUUAUUUAGUAUUGUUUAAUCAUAAUAAACAAAAGAGCAUUGCAAAGAUUAUUAUAAGAUGCCUACUUAAAUCAAUAAUAUCCUCCUCACUUCCUUCCAUAUACACGAGAUUCAAAAAAUAAAAAAAUAGAAUAAGCCAUGCGCAUGAGAUUCAUUUAGUUUUAUCGAGAGAGUUGUGCCUCUCAUGUACACACACACGCCAGAUUAAAUUGAAAGAUGAAAUAAGUCAUAGAAGGCUCAUGGGGCUGCUUAAAGCCUCACAGAGAGAGAGAGAGAGAGAGAGAGAGAGAGAGAGAGAGAGAGAGAGAGAGAGAGAGAGAGAGAGAGAGAGAGAGAGAGAGAGAGAGAGAGAGAGAGAGAGAGAGAGAGAGAGAGAGAGAGAGAUGGUUUUUUUUCUUUUCUUUACUUUUGUGAAAAAACAAUCAUUUAUGCUAUGUUUGGUUGGUUCAUAGAAAGUUUGAAGGAAGAUCGUAAGACAAAAAAAAAAAAAAAAAAACAUUGCAAAGAAAAAAAAUGAUUUAAAAUUAAUAAAUUCAUUUUACAUAUAUAUUAAUUCUUUGAUAUAAGAUUAAAUAAUUUAAAAAUAUAUAAUUUUCUUAAUCAUUUUAAUUACAUUUGACUUUUUUUCAUAUAUUUUUUUCCAUAUUUUAUAUGAUAUAAUAAAAAAUGAUAAAAUCAUUUUUCUUAACAUUUUCUUCUUUUCUUGAUAAUUUUCAGGAACUAAAUAUAAAUUUAUAUUAAAAGUAAUCCUUUAUAUUAAAGUCAUACUUGGUUCUCAUAAAGUGUUCCAAAAAAAAAUGUUAAAAAAAAAUUAAUUUUCUCCUGUUUGAUUUUACUAUUAAGAAUAUGAAAGAAAGUCAAAUAUAAUUAAAAUUAGUAAAAAAAUUUAUAUAUUUUCAAGUUAUUUAAUUUUUAUAUAAAAGAGUUAAAUAAGUAAAAUGAGUUUAAAAUAUGAUAUAAAAACAAUUUAUUGACUUUUCACAUCUAAUUAUCUUAUCCUUCAUUUGUAAUACUAGAAGUAUCAAAGAAAUGAAAAAAAGGAAACCUACAUGAGAAUUUAAAAUCAUAUGUUUGAAUGAGAGUGAAAUCUCAAAUACUAAAUUACAUAUAUUUUUAUUAAUGAAGAAAAAUGAGAAAUAAUAUUUUUUUUAAAAAGGAUCUAAAUUUUUUCCCUUUACUUUUUUUACAUGUCACAAACAUGGUUCUCUUAGUUUCUAAUCUUUCCUAAUUCAUCAAAGAAUAAAUCCCCAUAGUCAAUGACACAAGUACUGCAGACAUGGCAAUGAGAAUUCUGCUAAUGAGAAGCUAGCACCAAAAGAUUUAGGUCUUCUCUUAUGACCCAUAACCAUGACAUUCAUCUCAAUGAUCAUCUCUAUGAAGACAAAAAUUCCUCGUCACAAUACCUAAGAAAUGCCAAAACAGGAACAAAACUUCCUACCAAACUUCAAGCCCAUCUGCCUACCUUUAAAAGGUGGUCCACUGGGUCAAUGCAAAAUAGACCAGCUUUUAUUACAGAGACUCCCAAUCAAUGAAUGCAGGCUGCUAAACCAAAAUAUAAAACAAUAAGAUGUUUUUAGGUUAUUGAGAACAUGAACCAAAACAAAGAAAACUUUUUUGUUUUAGUGAAAAAUAAGACAUUGAAAGGAUAUGCAGUCAUAAAACUUGCAAUUUUGUAUAUUGCAGAGUUAAAUCUCCACUUUUAAUACACUGGAAAGGGAAUAGCAGCAAGAAAAGACCAAAGCAAUUAAAAUUUCUUACUGCCAAAGCACAAUACAUCCCUACUUUACUCCAUGCUUGUAUAAGAGAACAUAGACCCAGAAAGUGACAAAAACCUAAGCAUCCAUGGUUUUCCAUAGUUAUCAAGUGGUUCACUUGGUUUAGGCAUACUGCCAAAUAAAAACAGAGCAUGACCUUGCCAGUACCAUUAGAAUAUGGCAACUAUCUGCAUCCAAAAUGUGAGCACUUAGGUUCAAUCCUCCUCGACUCCUCUUCAAUAUUUGUUUCAAACUUGAAGCUUCACGAAAAAAGAAAAUCCCUAACACACCUGCCAUCGUUAAAAAAAUUAGCAUCAACAAGCAGACAUAAGAUUCCUUGCACCUAACAUUGACAUGGACUCAAAUUAUCCAAAACUAACCUAAAUUCAUGGAGAUGAAUGCCAAUCAAGCAAAGCACGUGCCUGUGUGAUGUUUGGUCAGUCAUCUGGAGAAGCUUGGAGCACGCCCAUGAUUAGAUCUGUCACAUGAGCUGUAUUUUGGUAAUUCUGGAAUGCGGUAUUUUCUAUUUAAGAUAAUAGAUGGUGAGAAACAUAUAGUCAGAUGAAUAAUAAAACACAUACUCUAGUAUUCUACUGAUUGAUUCACCCAUUCACUAAUCAUUAAAAAGUCUAGAAAUAUAGAAGCUUAAAUUUUCGAAUUUAUGGACAUAGUAAAUAAGCUCAUAAUCAUCAUUUCUAUACAAAAUCAGGAAGUUCAAUGAGGAAGUUGCACUCAACCGCCUUAAGAUAAUAAGGACAUCAGAAUAGAAAACAAAGCUACAAAAAGUCUUAAAGCCAAGAUCAAUUUAAUUAUAGUAUUCUUCUUGGGAGUUGCAUGGUAUAAACCUUCGUUAAGACAUGGACUCUAAUUUUCUUUUCAAAGAAACAGCUAACAUCCUGAUCGGAUAAACAAUGAGAGCCAAUGCCCAGGGCCACUAACAGGAAUGUAGGCAUGGAAACAACAAUUCUGCUAAUGAGAAGCAGCACAAGAAGACCGUCACCUUCAGGAUCCAUGUCAUUGAUCCAAAUGAUCAACUCAGCAACAGUUAAAAAAAAAAAAAGUAUACAAAAAUUCAUAGUCACAGUCGAGAUCUAAGAAAUGCCCAUAAAAGAACAUAACCACAUCAAAAUUAGGACAAAACAAGUACAACUACCUAAUAAUAAAAAAAUUGACCAAAAUACUUCAUGUAAACAAAUAAAAAAAGUUGACCAAUUCAGUAUCAUAAAAUACUUCAUAUAAAAUUUUUGCUUUUAAAAUCGUAGUUUGCUAAAUGAUCCUAGUUGGUUGAUAUGGAACACAUGGAGAAGAAAAGAAAAAACAAAAAGUAUUGAGUAAUUUAGUUUGAUAAAAAUUAAAAAGAAAAUGGAAAUUUAUUCGGAGAAGUAGCAUCAAUUACCCAUGGAAUAAGUGCCUGCAGAUGUCUCCCAAAGAAUCUUAAUUCAUUCGUAAAGCUACAAUAUUGACUACAAACUAACCAAAAAGAUCAAAAACUUUAAAUUCAUGCAAAUUAAUUUAUAAUAAAACAAAAAGAAGAGAAAUUCAUUCUCAUAUACAAAUUCUAAAAGGAAGAGUGACAAGAAAAGAUUAACUAAUAAAAACUCCAAAGGGGUGUGGUGGUAUAGAAACUUCGACCUUCCUCAUUGUUGGCCUAAUUACAGCCUCAAAGAUGAUUAAAGAGCCAUUGCUCAUGUGAUUAAAAUAUGAUAACUAGCUUUGUUAAAAUGUGAAUUACCAAGAAUCAAUCUUCCUUUACUCAUCUAGAGAUGCGUAAAUUCUAGAGAUUGUCAGAAAUUCUGAAAAGUACUUGACAGCUACUUUAUGAAUUGGAACAUAAAGUUUCUGAAUAAAAUAAGCAUAGAAUUAAUUACCUGACUGUAUAUUGGUGCGGUACCACUUUCAUUAAAAUAUCACACCAUUGAUCACUAUUUUUGGAGGUGAGAGCAAGCAAUUGCAUAUAUAUGAGAUCAGGGUACCCUCUGAUUUGCAAGUAACGUCAAUAGCCUGUCCGAUAUGAAGUUCAUAAUUAUAUGAACUCUAUUGCAUUCUCUGCUUCCCCUUCAUCAGCUUGGCAACUAGGCAUUUGAAAAAAUUUGGUCUUUAAAAUCUGGAUCCAAGAAAGAAUAACCAUACAGGCACACACACCUGGACAGCCUCCCCUCUUCAUCAAACAAUUCAAUAGCUGUUAAAUCCAUGGCCGCUGGUGCCUAUGCUGCACAUGUCAUCAGGAAUUGCCUGCACAACAGACCAAGAAGAAGCAUUUGAGUGCUUAUAUGAUCUAGCAGCUCCAUCAGAAUCAAGUGUUGCCCUGUAGUAAUAGUCACUCCUUAAGUCUCUUAUGCUUAAGUCUCUCCCCAUGUGCAGGUAGGUAUCUGGGUCUGAUUGUUACUCAACCCAACCAAGCAUGGGCAUCCAUACUUGAUACUUUUCAGGUUGGUCAAAUUGAAAUGAGUUACAUAUAAUGCUCAUCUCCCGUAUCGUUUUUGAAGCUAGUUCGGCUAGACUAAUAGACAAAUAAGCCCUCAAAAUAAACUUGCCCAGGUUGAGAACAGACCUUAUAUUGAGAUAGUCCACAACCAACUCUGCUCUUAAUAUAUAAGAAAUAAUGAAAAAUAAAUAGUCAAACAAAUAAUAAAAUGCAUAACCUAAUAUCCUAUUGAUUGAUUCACCCAGUUUUUAACCAUUAGAAAGUCUGGAAAUAUAGAAGAGUGACUUUUCGAAUUCAUGAGGAUGGUGAAUAAGCUUAGAAUCAUCAUUUCUACACAAAGUCAGUUGGUUCGAUGAGGGAAUUACACUCUUAACUACUUUAAGAUAAUACAACAACAUCAAAAAUAGAAAAUUGAACUACAAAAGGUCUUAAAUUAAGAUCAAUUUAGACAUAAUAUACUUCUUGGGAGUUUCACGGUAUAAACCUUUGUAAAGAAUUAGACUCUCCUUCUUUAAGACUAUGGACCCAAGACUCAUACUCACUGAUAGAAGUGCAGGCAUGCCAAUGAGAAUUCUGCUAAUGAGAACCUAGCAUAAGAAUAUUAAUGUCUUCUCCUGUGAUCCAGAACUAUAGUCCGAAAUGGGAUCCAUGACAUUGAUGUCAAUGAUCAUCUCCAUGACAACAGAAAAUAUACAGAAAUUCCUAGUCAUAGUCAAGACCUAAGAAAAGCCAAAACAAGAACAACGAAACAUUAAAAUUGGGACAAAAACAAGUGCAUAAGCUUCCUAAUGAACAUUUAAGUCUAUUAGCUUACCUUUAAAAAGUGGACCACUUAGUUAGCACGCAAUAGACCAGCUUUUGUUACGACUCCCAAUCAAUGCAGGUUGCUAUUAUCAUAACCGAACUUUGUUCCUCAUAAGCAGUCUUUUAUGCUGAUACUGGUAACUUAAUAUGGAACAUGUACAAAAAAGAAAAGAAAUAACAAAAAGUAGUAAUUAAUUUCGUUUGAUAUUGAAUGGAGUAAAGUCACAACAUGUGCAUAUGCAAGUAUAUUAUCCUAAAAACCACUUGCAAAAGGCACCAAGUACCCAACUAAUAUCAGACUUGAAUAACCAUGAAUUACCUAAAACUGUAUCCACAUGUUCCUGCAUGAGAUAGAUACACAGAUAGUUUCAACUUUGCUCAUUUGGAAAGAUCAAUUAAAGCUACAAUGCAAAUUACCUGGGAUGAAUUUUCCUUUGUUGGAGAACUUCUCAAAUCAAACAAAUAGAGUUUGUUGCUUGCUCAAAUCUUCAACAACUGGACCAGCCAAAGACUUGUGUAGAUGUACAAUUCCUAAAGAGUGUUGAGCAUAUUAGGAGCCUUUGAAUUCUGAAAGGAGGUCAAGACCUUAACAAUGUAGAAGGUUUAAGUAAUUCUGUUAUCAAACAUGGUAAAAUUGAUUAAACAAAACCUUGAACAGUGAGGUAUUUUCUUCUAAAAAAGAUGAGUCCACCAUUGUGUGGACUAUUGAGAAUAUAAAAAAUACGACAUCAGAAUUAUAAGUAACUAAAAUUACCUACCAAUAAGCAGCUAGCUAGAAUAAAUCCAUGGUUUUCUCCAUGCCUGUAUUAGAGAAAUGACAAAGAAAGUGAGGAAAAAAAAUCAAAGCAUUCAUGUUUUUCGACAGUAAUUAAGUGGUUCACUUGGGUUAUGCAUACUGCCAAAGCAUGAAAAUAUGAGUACCAUUAAAAUAUGAUCUGAACUGUCUGUGUCAAAAUGUCAGCACCUAGGUUGAAUCCUCAUCUACGGCUUUUCAAUAACAUUUGUCCUAGGGUUGAAGCUUCAAGAAGAAGAAAUCUUAAAUCAAAUAAAUGGAGCUAAGGAAUUAUGCAGAUAUAUUCUUGAGAUUAGAAAUUUGGAUGGCUACAUCAGGAAUUGGAACAUAAAUUUUCUAACAAAAUAAGUUCAAGCACAAAGCAAUUACCUGCCGAUAUGUUGGUGCAGUGCCAUUUUCAUUAAAAUAGCACAUCAUCGAUCACUAUUUUUGGAAUGUGAGAUAUAAAACGCCAUUCUUGCCCUUUCUCAAAUUGGCACUGUUGUUCCAGUGAAGGACACUUGAGGACAUACAGAUAAGAGAGGGAGUUUGGCCGUCUCUCUUUUGUCAAGUAUUGGAGCUUAGGGCACUUGUAGAGAUCUAAGGUUUCAAGAGUGGUGAGGUGGUGAAGACCCGCUUAAUAAAAAUUAAUAAAAUAAAUGAAUUUAUUAUAUCUGGAAUAUGUAUAUAUGUCUUAUCUUAGGAUUAAUAUAUAUUAAAUAUCCAUUAAUAGAAAACCCAUUUUUUCUCUUUCCACAAUCUAAUCCUAAUACGAAAAAUCUUGAAAUAUUAUUGGUUUUCUAGCUUUCUUUUAAUUUCUCUAAAAUUUUUCAUUAAGUAAAUAAAUUUGGAAUCAAACUAUACCUCAUAGGUAAAAUUUAUUAAUUUUUAAAAUUAAUUUCAAACUCAAAAACCAAUUUAAUUAGUACUAAAAAGUCAAAAACACAAUAAUAUUAUAAAUUCAUAGGUCAAAAUUUAUUUAAAAUAACUUGGUUAGCUUCUUCUUCACAUAUAACCUAUUUUUAUAAAUUUUUUUCAUGAAGCAAAUAAACUUCAAAUUAAUCGAGACUUGAUGUGUUGAAUUCAUUAAUGAGUUUAAUAAUUUUUAAAAAUAAUUUAAAACUUAAAUAAUUAUGUAAUUAAUACCAUCAAUUUAUAAAUAAAAAUUGGUUUCAAAUGACUCUAUUUUUUUUUAUUUUCUAUGUAAAAUUAUUAUUUUCUUAUUUUUUUGUUUCUAUUAUGCAAAUGGACUCCAAAUUAAACAAGACUUAAUGUCAUAUUUUUAUCAAUGAGUCUAGUAAUUUUUAAAAAUAACUUAAAACUUAAAUAGUGAACCAAUUACUAUUAAAAAUUUAUGGACAAAAAUUGAUUUAGAAUAAUUUUAUUUAUUCUUUUUCUUUACAUAAUCAUUAUUGUCCGAUUUUUUAAACAAAUAAACUUUAAAUUAAACAAGACUUAAUACAUCGGAUUCAUUAAUAAGUUUAAAAAAUUUUAAAAAUAAUUUAAAAUUCAUAUAAUAAACUCAUUAAUAUAAGAAAUUUAUGAAUUAAAAAUGAUUCAUAAUGACUAUUAUUUGUAUUUUUGGUUUUAUUUUAAAAAUAAUUUUUUAAAAAUAAGCGUUAGAAGACAUGUUCAAACGGACCCUUAGCUUUUAAAAAACAAUGCAAUUAUGCAUUUUACAAUCUUUUCUAAAGGUAAUUACAAAUUGUUUUAGUUGUUUUUCCACCUUUCAACCCAAAAAAUUGUUGAAAAUAUAAAUAAAAAAAAAUAUUGUGAUAUUCAACUAUUUCACUUGAAGUUACCCAAAUAUGAAAAUAAGGAUUGAAGGGUGCAAUCAUGCAACCCAAUGGCAUUGAUUUAACAUAGGUUUUGUCCAAUUUACAACCAUAUAUAUUAGUGCAAUCACUAAUAAAAACUCAUUUUAAUGAUCAAGAUAAGUCAUUCUUCUAAUUAUGAGGUAGUAUGCUACAAUUUUAGAUUGAUUGUUCAAGUUUAUGAAUUGGUUGUAAACAAUCCAUCAACUUACAAUAAACUUAUGACUUGGAUCUUUCGUAUAACUUUUUAUACACUAAAAUCUUAUACAAUGCAAGUGAUGUAAACCCGAGUGUUCAAAUAAAUAUUAAUGUAAAUAAUGGCAGAAUAAUGGAAAUAGAAAUCAUAAUAUUAUAUAUAUAUUUAUGAAAUUUCACUUAGUUAAAUCAUGUUAUAUUUUUAAAGGCUUUGAUUUUUUUAAUUGGAUCUUGGGCUUUUAGGAUUUGAUCUUGGGUUUUAGUUGUUUCAUUCGAUGUUAGGCAUUUAUAAUUUUAUUUGGGAACAAUUCAUUUGAUCGAGGCUUCAAUUUUUUGAUGUGGGCUAUAGGCUGUGAUUAUUUCGGGCUUUGGGUUUUUGUGAUUUGGGCUAGUUUUGAUCAUUUAAUUUGUUGUUUUGGGCUUUGGUUUGGAUUGAUAUUUGAUUAGGCUUUGGGUAUUGGAUUUGUUGUUUCUUAAUUUGGAAAUAAUAUUUGACAUUGGCUUUUGGGCUUCGCUUUUAAUAUGUAGUUUUGACCUUGGUUAAUUCCUAUUUGAGCCCCUGGUCGGAUUAUUUCAUUUUGGCCUAUUGAUUUGUUGACUUGGACUUUGUGUUUGUGCUUGUUUGUGAUUUAGGCUUGGUCUAUUGUUCUGGGGUUUUAGUUUGAUUGUGGGCAUUUGUGUAUUACUUUGGGCUUGGCCUUUAUAAUUGUUUUGAAUUUAUUUAUGGUAUGGGCUUGGUUGUUUGAUUUUGACCUUCUAUAUACUCUAUUUGACCUGGGCUUAGGGCUUUCAUUUAGUUUAUUUGAGCUUGGUUAAUUUGAUUUGGAUUUGGGCCUGUUAUAACUUGUAAACUAUUUAGGCUUGCUUUUCUUUUAUUGAACAGAAUCAACAAAAGUAAGGUGUAUAUUUUUUUAAACAAGCAGAAUACGCGCAUUCAAAGUUUUGAAAAAUAGUUUUGAAAAAUUAAUUUUAAUCUUUUUUAUGUAUAUAAAUAUUUUCCAAAAAUAACUUUAUGAUAUAUAUUUCUUCAAGCAAUCAUAAACGAAAAAAAAAAAAAACAAAUGAAAAUAACCGAAAACAACUCAUAUAUUUUUUCAAAAAACACCUAAACCGGCUUGCUUUUUUUUUUUUUUUUUUAUCAAACAGUUUUCCUAUUUUCUUGUUCUUAAAUAUAGAUAAACAAAAGUGGUUCAUUGUGACCCUAUCAUUUGUCUUUUGUUUUUUAAUUUUAAAAUAGGUUUUAAAAACAAGUAGAAAAAUAUGAUGAAACGAACCCUUAUCUUUUAAAAAAUAAGGCAAUUCAAAAUACAUUUUAAAAGGCAAAUUAUAAAUUUCUUUAGUUGUUUUCUCAUCUUUGAAUCGAGAAAAUUUGUUUGUACGAUCUUUCCAUCUAAUUAGUCCCUUGAAAUAUUUGUCCCCUUUUUCAGUAUUAUCAAUAUAUUUAUGACUAUUUGAAUGAAAAUAUAAGAAAAUAUCAUAAAUAUUCUCAUGAAACUCCUUGAUAGCAAUUAUUUCACUUAUCAGUGAAAAUAAAGUUACCCAAAUAUAAAAAAGGAUCGAAGGAUGCAACCCAAUGGCAUUCAUCGAGAUGGCAAAGUUUGAUACAAUUUGCAAAUACUUCUAUAUAUACUCAUCUUAUCUUAUAUUUCAUUGAAUAUAAGAUAAGAUAAAUUAAUGGAUAUUUAUCAUAUAGUAUCCCUACCAAAAAUGUCCCCUCCUUUAUUUGAACUCAUGGUAGGUGAAAGAAUGUAUUUUCGUGCAAAUGAUAACAAGGCAAUGAUUCGAGAUCAUGAAUAGAAAGAAAUUCCAAAAGCGCUACACAGUAACCUUCCUCAUGGUUGGCCUUAGAGCUGAAUCCUCCUGAAUGCACCAAAUGGACACCAUCACUAGCCUCUCCAACCUCUUCAUAUCAUUCAUAAUUUGCAUCCUCAUCAUCUUCCACCAACUUCUCCAACUUCCUUUGCACAAACAGUUCAUAAUCUCGAUCCAUUAGAGCUUCCUCUCCGUCUUCCAUAUGAAAGAGGAAAUCUUCUUCUAACACAUUGUCUCUAUAAAUGGCUACUUUGCAUAAGCAAUCCUCUUUACAUGACUCUUUAUACUUCUCCUGCUCAACCAAUUUGUGUUGUUUAAUUCUUUCAACUCCACUUCAUCCUUCGCUUUCUUCACUUUCUUCGCUUCAUCUUCAUCUGCUUGGCAACUCCACUUCACUCUCACUCUCAAGAACAAAGUUACCGAGCAUGGCAGCAUGAGUAACCCCUUUAACAGCCGACUAAGUUCUCCAAAGCUCAUAUCCUCAUUUGUCAGCGAGUUUGAACUCCCCAUUUUUGGUGAGUUCAAUUUUUGUACCCUUCUGCCACUUCUUUAUCUGCAUACCAAAUUAUUGUUUGGUAAUUCAUGUUCGCUAAUUGCAUAUAGAACAUAAUUAGCCCUUUUAAAAAUAAUAAUUAAUAUGAUCAAUCAUCUUCUAAGAUGGCAUGUUACAUAAAAGGUAACAAGAUUAUGCUACUUUUUAAAAUUUUUCCUUAGGGUGUCAAUGUCAUAAUGUGGGUACAAACUGACAGUAUAGGAACAAGUACAUUGAUAAAAAUUAAAAGAGAAAAAUUCGAAAUUUAUUCAGAGAAGUAGCAUCAAUUGCCUAGGGAAUAAGUGCCUGCAGAUGUUACUCCUUAGUCCCCAGUAUGCUUGAAACAAACUGGAGACUGAUCAGUUUCUUACAGUAUCAGAAGACGGCAGCCUAGCUAUAGCUAACCACACAAAGAGAUUGAAGAACACUGAGCUGCCAAGUAGUAGUGACCCAACAAGAAUCAAGGUAGACUUAUCUGGGCCUGUCUGCAAGCCUUUUGCUCUGUUUUCCACAGGAAAGAAGGAAUCUCUUCUGCCAACACAUUGUCUGUAUAAAUGGCUACUGCACAGAAGCAAUCCUCUUCACAAGACUCUUUAAAACUUCUCCUUGUCAACAAUCCGUCUAAUCCAAAGUUCAUAAUUGGAGAUUUGCCAGUCUAUGUUGUUAUUCUAUGAACUCUACUACCUGCUUGGCAUCUGGACAUUGGAAAAUUUGGUCUUUAAAAUAUGGAGCCAAGAAAGAAUGCCUACAUAGGCACUCACAUCUGAACAACCCCCUCUCCCCAUCAAACAAUACAAUAGCUGUUGAAUCCACAAAUCCCGCUGCCACUGCCACUUGCAGCUGCAUUGCAAUUGUCAUCAGUAAUUGCCUGCAGAACAGACCAAGAAGUAUUAAUGCAGUUCCAAUGGUUUGCAGUGUUCUGUUUUCGGUGCUUAUAUAAUUAAAAUCAAGUGUUGUCUUGUAUUAAAAUCACUCCCAAAAUCUAUCUUCUGAUAAGAGGUUAACUUAUGUGG